GAGAAGCGAGCUGAGCGAGGAGCAAUAGUCGGUGCAGAAUCACUGACACAGCUCCGCUUGUUCUGAUCCGCCUGAGUAGUAUGCUCACAAGAGUGAAACUUAAAGGAAUUGACGGGGACCCGCACAAGCGGUGGAGCAUGUGGUUUAAUUUGAAAAUACACGGAAAACCUUACCCACUCUUGACAUCCUUCGCAAAGCUAUAGAGAUAUAGUGGAGGUUAACAGACUGACAGAUGGUGCA
rnacentral:rRNA from 1 species